CAGUAGCCGCGGGAAUACGGAGGGUGCGAGCGUUAAUCGGAAUAACUGGGCGUAAAGGGCACGCAGGCGGUGACUUAAGUGAGGUGUGAAAGCCCCGGGCUUAACCUGGGAAUUGCAUUUCAUACUGGGUCGCUAGAGUACUUUAGGGAGGGGUAGAAUUCCACGUGUAGCGGUGAAAUGCGUAGAGAUGUGGAGGAAUACCGAAGGCGAAGGCAGCCCCUUGGGAAUGUACUGACGCUCAUGUGCGAAAGCGUGGGGAGCAAACAGGAUUAGAUACCCCGGUAGUCCCUGUCUCUUAUAA
rnacentral:rRNA from 1 species